rnacentral:lncRNA from 1 species
GGUGAGCGCAGAGUCGUCUGGGAAGUCAUGGCGUCGCUAAAUAGUAAGACUGCGAUCUGUGUGAUCUGCUCGGAGAAGCCGAAAUACCGCUGCCCAGCUUGCCGCGUGCCCUACUGCUCGGUCGCCUGUUUCCAGAAGCACAAAGAGCAGUGCAACUCUGAAGCACGUCCUGUUGAGAAAAGCCCAACAGUGGUUCCCGUAAGGACUGAGGAAAACAAAGGUGACGACUCCUCUAUAGCUGAUUUCCUCAACAGUGAUGAGGAAGACGAUAGAGUGUCUGUGCAGAGUUUAAAGAAUCUAGUAUUCUAGCUGCAUAUAUGCCUGUGUGCCAGAAGAGCGUGCCAAGAUUACAUCACAGAUGGCUGUGACCUACAUGUGGUUGGUGGGAAUGGAACUCAGGACCUCUGGAAGAGCAGCCAGAGCUCUUAACCGCUGAGCCAUCAUCUCUCCAGCCCAACUUUUUUUAUUUUUUAAAGAAAGAUUAGUUUAUCUAAUUUUAUGUGUCUAUGUGUGCAGAUUUUAUCCAUCAUUUUUAAAGGCUGUGUUUGCUGGGAACGUGGCUCAGUGGUAGAGCGUUCACCUUGUGUGUAUAUGGGCUGCAACUCAAAACUUACACUGCAAAAUAAAAUCCUUGGAAUUC